rnacentral:rRNA from 1 species
ACAGGUCUGUGAUGCCCUUAGAUGUUCUGGGCCGCACGCGCGCUACACUGACAGAGCCAACGAGUUCUUUUCCUUGUUCGAAAGAAUUGGGUAAUCUUGUUAAACUCUGUCGUGCUGGGGAUAAAGCAUUGCAAUUAUUGCUUUUCAACGAGGAAUGCCUAGUAAGCGCGUGUCAUCAGCAUGCGUUGAUUACGUCCCUGACCUUUGUACACACCGCCCGUCGCUACUACCGAUUGAAUGGCUCAGUGAGGCCUUCGGACUGGCUCGAGGAGGUUGGCAACGACCACCUCAAGCCGGAAAGUUCGUCAAACUCGGUCAUUUAGAGGAAGUAAAAGUCGUAACAAGGUCUCCGUAGGUGAACCUGCGGAGGGAUCAUUACACAAAUAUGAAGGCGGGCUGGAACCUCUCGGGGGUUACAGCCUUGCUGAAUUAUUCACCCUUGUCUUUUGCGUACUUCUUGUUUCCUUGGUGGGUUCGCCCACCACUAGGACAAACAUAAACCUUUUGUAAUUGCAAUCAGCGUCAGUAACAAAUUAAUAAUUACAACUUUCAACAACGGAUCUCUUGGUUCUGGCAUCGAUGAAGAACGCAGCGAAAUGCGAUAAGUAGUGUGAAUUGCAGAAUUCAGUGAAUCAUCGAAUCUUUGAACGCACAUUGCGCCCUUUGGUAUUCCAAAGGGCAUGCCUGUUCGAGCGUCAUUUGUACCCUCAAGCUUUGCUUGGUGUUGGGCGUCUUGUCUCUAGCUUUGCUGGAGACUCGCCUUAAAGUAAUUGGCAGCCGGCCUACUGGUUUCGGAGCGCAGCACAAGUCGCACUCUCUAUCAGCAAAGGUCUAGCAUCCAUUAAGCCUUUUUUCAACUUUUGACCUCGGAUCAGGUAGGGAUACCCGCUGAACUUAAGCAUAUCAAUAAGCGGAGGAAAAGAAACCAACAGGGAUUGCCCUAGUAACGGCGAGUGAAGCGGCAACAGCUCAAAUUUGAAAUCUGGCUCUUUUAGAGUCCGAGUUGUAAUUUGCAGAGGGCGCUUUGGCUUUGGCAGCGGUCCAAGUUCCUUGGAACAGGACGUCACAGAGGGUGAGAAUCCCGUACGUGGUCGCUGGCUAUUGCCGUGUAAAGCCCCUUCGACGAGUCGAGUUGUUUGGGAAUGCAGCUCUAAAUGGGAGGUACAUUUCUUCUAAAGCUAAAUAUUGGCCAGAGACCGAUAGCGCACAAGUAGAGUGAUCGAAAGAUGAAAAGCACUUUGGAAAGAGAGUCAAACAGCACGUGAAAUUGUUGAAAGGGAAGCGCUUGCAGCCAGACUUGCUUACAGUUGCUCAUCCGGGUUUUUACCCGGUGCACUCUUCUGUAGGCAGGCCAGCAUCAGUUUGGGCGGUAGGAUAAAGGUCUCUGUCACGUACCUCCUUUCGGGGAGGCCUUAUAGGGGAGACGACAUACUACCAGCCUGGACUGAGGUCCGCGCAUCUGCUAGGAUGCUGGCGUAAUGGCUGUAA